UACGUAGGGGGCAAGCGUUGUCCGGAUUUAUUGGGCGUAAAGAGCGUGUAGGCGGCCAGGUAGGUCGGUUGUGAAAACUGGAGGCUCAACCUUCAGACGUCGAUCGAAACCAUCUGGCUAGAGUCCGGGAGAGGAGAGUGGAAUUCCUGGUGUAGCGUGAAAUGCGCAGAUAUCAGGAAGAACACCCGUGGCGAAAGCGGCUCUCUGGAACGGUACUGACGCUGAGACGCGAAAGCGUGGGGAGCGAACAGG
rnacentral:rRNA from 1 species